UACGAAGGGGGCUAGCGUUGUUCGGAAUUACUGGGCGUAAAGCGCACGUAGGCGGAUAUUUAAGUCAGGGGUGAAAUCCCGGGGCUCAACCCCGGAACUGCCUUUGAUACUGGGUAUCUCGAGUCCGAGAGAGGUGAGUGGAAUUCCGAGUGUAGAGGUGAAAUUCGUAGAUAUUCGGAGGAACACCAGUGGCGAAGGCGGCUCACUGGCUCGGUACUGACGCUGAGGUGCGAAAGCUAGGGGAGCGAACGGG
rnacentral:rRNA from 1 species